rnacentral:rRNA from 1 species
AUGCCCCUGGACUUCACCAAGCACUUCUUCGCGUUGCCGACGGAGUUCAAGCUCAGGAACAACACCGGCUGCUCCUGGAAGGUGAUGGUGAAGUUGAUGAACGACAGGGUGACCCUGGAUCAGGGUUGGGCCACCUACGCAGCUGUUCAUCAGAUCAAGAUCGGCUACAUGGUGACGUUCAAGCUCCUCACUCCCGACACCCUCAAGGUCAUCAUCUUCGACGACGAUGGCAUUGAGGUCGUCAACAAGUGCGGGAAGCACGACGAACCCUUCGCCGCCAAGGACUAG